UACGUAGGGUGCAAGCGUUGUCCGGAAUUAUUGGGCGUAAAGAGCUCGUAGGCGGUCUGUCGCGUCGGCUGUGAAAUCCCGGAGCUCAACUCCGGGCCUGCAGUCGAUACGGGCAGACUGGAGUUCGGCAGGAGAGACUGGAAUUCCUGGUGUAGCGGUGAAAUGCGCAGAUAUCAGGAGGAACACCGGUGGCGAAGGCGGGUCUCUGGGCCGAUACUGACGCUGAGGAGCGAAAGCAUGGGUAGCGAACAGG
rnacentral:rRNA from 1 species